rnacentral:tRNA from 1 species
GGGGGUGUAACUUAGUGGUAGAGUGCUUGUCUAGCACGCAUGAGGGGCUAGGUUAGACACCCCCC